CCCCCAUUAUCGUUUUUGUUCGUCCCUCUUGACAGAUCUUAGAAAACACUUGAAGCAGAAACUCGUCCAAGAAAUCAUUCGAGACAGCCUAUGUAAAUAGGCCACUAGGAUUAUCAUAAUUAUACAGGGGUGCUUCUCACGGCAACGACCCGACUAGAGGGAAUAUUGUACGGCUUCAUCGGAUUUCACCAACCGGUAUAGGACUCAGUGGAUGACGAUGACGAUGGCGAUGACGAUGUAUUUGAGGAGGAUGGUGGUAACCUUCUAGUGGUAUCGGCAAUGGCGGCUGCGGCAGCUGCGGCCGCGGCCGCGGCAAC